rnacentral:tRNA from 1 species
AGCGAGAUAGCUCAGUUGGCAGAGCAGUGGGCUCAUAUCCCACCUGUCGCCGGUUCAAGUCCGGCUCUCGCUCCCA